rnacentral:rRNA from 1 species
UACGUAGGGGGGCAAGCGUUGUCCGGAUUUAUUGGGCGUAAAGAGCUCGUAGGCGGCUUGUCACGUCGGUUGUGAAAGCCCGGGGCUUAACCCCGGGUCUGCAGUCGAUACGGGCAGGCUAGAGUGUGGUAGGGGAGAUCGGAAUUCCUGGUGUAGCGGUGAAAUGCGCAGAUAUCAGGAGGAACACCGGUGGCGAAGGCGGAUCUCUGGGCCAUUACUGACGCUGAGGAGCGAAAGCGUGGGGAGCGAACAGG